AGCUGGGAGGAGACCUUUUUCCAAAGUCACUCACACAGCCUCAGGUGUUUACAGGCCUCAGGUCCUUGCUGGCUGUUGGCCAGAGGCCUCAGUUCCUUGCCACAAGGGCCUCCCCAUAGGUUACUCACAACAUAACAGUUUGCAGCCCCCAGAACAAGGACCCCAGAGACAGAGUGAGAGAGGGCAAGAGAAGGCAAGAUGCAAGUCACACUCUUUUUGUAACCUAAUCCCAUCACAUUUCCUGAAUUCUGCUCAUUAGAAAGAAGUCACUAGAUUCAGCCCACAUUCAAGAUGAGAAAUACCAGAAGACAGAGAACACUGAGGCUGUUUUAGAGGCUGUCAACCCCAGGGAGACAGACAGCAAAUAAGUAAGCAAAUAAAUAAAAAUGGAAGGUGAUAAUAAGUGCAAUGAAAAGAAAUGAAGCAGAGUAAAGAAUCAAGAGUAGCAGUUGAGGGGCAAACAUGGAGGAACAGAGUUUGGAGCAAUACCCUGACUUACAUUCAGUACUGUUAAUGGCUCCAGCAUCUUGAAACAAACCAAUUUUGGAUUUUCAGCCGCUGUCCAAGAUGACGUGAACUCCAGGCUAUUGACUUUCCUCUACCUUCAAUGGAAAUUGUCAUGGAGAAUUAAGUUUUUGACAAAUCUACAGCCUAUGUGCAGGGCUUCUUCCUGGGUGUAACAAUAAGGAAUUUGGAAACUGUCUCUAGUUUUGGCCUGGAGACACACUGCAGCUUGAGACCCUGUCAUUUCCAUCAAGCUUGAAAAUAUACAUCUUAAUAAACUGCAAUACUUCUUAAA